rfam:Salmo salar isolate Sally breed double haploid chromosome ssa09, whole genome shotgun sequence.
AAUGCACCAAUUUGUAAGUCGCUCUGGAUAAGAGCGUUUGCUUAAUGACAUAAA